UGCUUAAAAUAAUAGAAAUUCUUUCUCUUACACACAAGAGGCCAGAAGCCCAGAAUCAAGGUGUGGGCAGGGCUGUGCUCUACCCGAGGCUCUAGGGGUGGAUCCUUCCUGCCGCUUCCAGCUCUUGGUGGCUCGGGCGCUCCUGGGCCUGCACCCGAGUCACCCCCGUGUCUGCUCGGUCUUCAAACAGCCUCCCCCCUGCAUCUCUGCCUCUUACAAGGACACUGGCCAAGGGAUUUAGGCCCCACCACGUAACCCAGGGUGCAAACACCCUUUCUCCAGAUAAAGUCUUGUUCACAGGUUCUGGGGUUUAGGAUUGGGACACUCAACCCACCGCAGUGCCCAAACCAGUGUGGGCAGGGCUGGCCUCAACCCAGGAACCGGCCCAGCCCCCAGGCUCGUGCUCCUUCCUCAGGGCUCCCCGCCUGGCUUGAGAUGUGGGGCCCCUGUCCUGAGUGGCCUGCUUCCCCAUCAAUGUUUCUUGUCGAAACAUCAGCCCCUUCGCCAGCCUAGACCUGGGACCGAGCUGGCACAGAAGGCCUGCUUAGGGGAUCUGCAGGUGGAAUAUUACUGUCCUCCUUCUCGCUGGUCCCUGCUUGUCGCAGGCCUUGCUCACACAACGCCUCUUCCUGGAAGCCCUCUAAGGUCCCUGGUGGGGUGGACUCCCUUUCUCUAGCCCGGACCCCUCCAGGCUGUGGCCCUCCCUUGGUGUUGCAUGCCCUGCAGGGCAUGGGUCUGGUCCCUGAGCCCCUGGCCCUGGGGAGAUGCCCCAGGGACUGUGGGGACGGUGCUCAGCCAGGGGGGCCUGCUUACUGGCUCAGCCAAGUUGACACUGAAACGGACACAUUUAUGUAUGACCAACGUCCCACACGUCGUGCCUGCACAUUUUAUAUAUCAUCCCAAUGAUGCGUUUCAUUCUGUGUGGGGUGAGAGGGUUGAUUUUUCCGGCCCAGCAGUCUGCCUGGUGUGUAUGGGGGCUUGGUUCGGGGUCACAGCUAAACCAGACCCUGUCCCUGCCCUCAGGAUGUGCCCAUUAUGGGGCUCAGGGGGGCGCCUGGAAAGGGGGCCCUGCUCACCCUCCAGUGAUGACAGGGAGCCGACUGGUCCUGACACACAGAACACAGAGGGGAGGAAGCCAGCGUUGACCCCGCCUUUCCUGUAGGGAGGCACCGCCUGGCGACCAAGGAGUAGGUGAGGGGCAGCCUUUCUCUAUAAAAUGACUCCAGACGCUAAAUAAAGACGUCAGGAUAGCCCAGACUGGCUGGACUCUGCAGCCCCCAGGAAAUUAAUGCAGGCACCACGUCCUGGUGCAAGAGCACGACGACCAGCCUGAGCAAGAGGCCUUGAGGAACCCAGGGCCCCAGUGGACCCCAGGCUCUGACCGAGCUAACGGAGCUGUGGGGGCUGUGCCACCUCGAGCCCCCCUCCCACAACUGCUCCCAGGGCCUUCUGGAAGCCAAAUUGAGCCCCGACCCUCCCCAGGACUCCGCGGUGCCCCCCUGCCCCCCCCCGCACCCCUCCCCACAGGCUUGAUCGUGGAGUCCGGAAGCACCGCUCCCCAGCACCGCUCCCCAGCCUCCAGGCUCGAGGGUGCCCCAGGGUUAGUCUCCCUCCUCCCCAAGUAAGUGGUUUCUGGUUUCCCAAGUGAACCCUGACGGACACACCUCGCGCAGGCAUUCGUUAUAAUUAACAUGAUGUUACAAAAACCCUGAUUGUAAGGAUUUAAUUAGCCCCAGAUGUGGGCCUUCGGACCGCGGCCACCUCAUCAGGCCACUGCUCCCAAGAGGAGCCUGACGUUCUGAGUAGGGGUGGCAAGUGCCAGGUCCGAGAUCGGCCCCCAGUCGCGCCUGGCUGUCCACCCACCUGGGCUCUUGGUGCUCCCGCGACCUCGUGGCCACACCAUCCCCACACUUACCCCUCUGGCCCCGAUCGCACUCUGCGCAUCCCUCCUCUAGGCCUUCCCUGAAAGAGCCCUCGAAGACCCAUUCUGCCUGCCUGUCGCCUCCUCUGGGAAGCCCUGCUGCCGCCCCCCGGCCCCCCGCAUGGACUAAUCCCUCCCCCAGCUCUGAUCCCACUCUGUGUGACCACCACUCACGUAGGCGGCCACCUCCCCCACCAGCCUGUGAUGUCCUCCAGGCCUGACUCAUGUCCUUGUCCCCAGGGCCCAGCCCAGGGCGUGCACCGCCGGACCCCCAGCCUCAGAUGUCAAUCACGAAACCCCUCGGAUGGCAGAUGGCAAGGUCAAGGCCAGAGAGGGGAAGCAACAUGCCCCAGGGCAGAACCAGGAGCGCCCCCGGGUGGCCUGCCUUCUGGCUCUUGCCUUCCACCCUACAGCUCCUGGGAGGCAGCAAAGGAGGUGAGAGCAGGGAGGCCCCCCCGGAGGAGGCACUCGGCUCUCCCGAAGGCCGCCCCUAUCUCCCCAGGAAGAAAAAUGAAGACUUAAAUGAUCAUCUCUGAAAAGGCAAAGUCACAAAUAAAAAACAGCUUCGAGCCUGACGAUUGCCAUCUGUCGCAAAUGCCACCACAAAGACAAGACAAUCCAAGAGCGGUGCCUAUCCCUCGCGGGAGCUCGUUCCUAACCGGAGUGUGAGCCCUGGAAUCCAGGGAAGACCCAGGCUGCGGGCUUUGAAGACCACGGGGACCCUCGGCUCUGCCGGUCCCAAGCCGGGAAUCUAGGGCCGGGGCUUCCGAGGGGACCGAGGGGCCAAGCAGCCACAGGCCAUGCUCCCGGGCCGACCCCUGGGCCAGGGGAGACACACAGUAUUGGGCAAAGCAGGAACCCGGUCCCUGAGCGCACAGAGGACCCAGGCCUGACUUUAAAACACAAGGAUAGAGAACCACGUUCAACGCCACGAUGAUGCUGUGUAAGUCACCCCAAGACGCGGGGCUCACAGGUCAGCCCUCAGGCCGGGCUCUGCCGAUCUGACCUCAACCCUCCUUCUUUAUCCUUCCCCUUAGAAUGACAGCAACAGGUGCACCUGGGGGCUCAGGGGUUGAGUGUCUGCCUUCGGCCCAGGGCAUGACCCCAGGGGUCCGGGAUCGAGCCCUGCAUCGGGCUCCCCGCAGGAGCCUGCUUCUCCCCCUGCCUGUGCCUCUGCCUCUCUCGCUGUCUCUCAUGAAUAAAUAAAUAAAAUCUUAAAAAAAAAAUAUGUCAAUGUAUGGUCACUUUGUGCCCAGGUGCUGGCAUUGUGGGCCUGGGGGGAUGG
rnacentral:lncRNA from 1 species